rnacentral:rRNA from 1 species
GACGAACGCUGGCGGCGUGCCUAAUACAUGCAAGUUGAGCGCUGAAGGUUGGUACUUGUACCAACUGGAUGAGCAGCGAACGGGUGAGUAACGCGUGGGGAAUCUGCCUUUGAGCGGGGGACAACAUUUGGAAACGAAUGCUAAUACCGCAUAAAAACUUUAAACACAAGUUUUAAGUUUGAAAGAUGCAAUUGCAUCACUCAAAGAUGAUCCCGCGUUGUAUUAGCUAGUUGGUGAGGUAAAGGCUCACCAAGGCGAUGAUACAUAGCCGACCUGAGAGGGUGGUCGACCACAUUGGGACUGAGACACGGCACCAACUCCUACGGGAGGCAGCAGUAGGGAAUCUUCGGCAAUGGACGAAAGUCUGACCGAGCAACGCCGCGUGAGUGAAGAAGGUUCUCGGAUCGUAAAACUCUGUUGGUAGAGAAGAACGUUGGUGAGGGUGGAAAGCUCAUCAAGUGACGGUAACUACCCAGAAAGGGACGGCUAACUACGUG